UCCAGGCGCAGUGGCCCGAGUCUGUAAUCCCAGCUACUCGGAAGGCUGAGCCCGGAGGAUCGCUUGAGUCCAGGAGUUCUGGGUUGCAGUGUGCUAUGCAGAUCUGGUGUCCGCACUAAGUUCGGCAUCAAUAUGGUGACCUCCAGGGAGCUGGAGGACACCAAGUUGCCUAAGGAGGGGUGGAACCGGCCCAGGUCGGAAACGGAGCAGGUGCAAACCCCAGUGCUGAUCAGAAGGAUAUUCUCAUGAGAGUAUCACAAGGACUCAAUAACAAUGAACCUAUGGUCAU
ensembl:misc_RNA Metazoa_SRP Metazoan signal recognition particle RNA